rnacentral:rRNA from 1 species
ACUCCUGCGGGAGGCAGCAGUGGGGAAUUUUGGACAAUGGGCGAAAGCCUGAUCCAGCAAUGCCGCGUGAGUGAAGAAGGCCUUCGGGUUGUAAAGCUCUUUUGUCAGGGAAGAAACGGUGAAAGCUAAUAUCUUUUGCUAAUGACGGUACCUGAAGAAUAAGCACCGGCUAACUACGUGCCAGCAGCCGCGGUAAUACGUAGGGUGCAAGCGUUAAUCGGAAUUACUGGGCGUAAAGCGUGCGCAGGCGGUUUUGUAAGUCUGAUGUGAAAUCCCCGGGCUCAACCUGGGAAUUGCAUUGGAGACUGCAAGGCUAGAAUCUGGCAGAGGGGGGUAGAAUUCCACGUGUAGCAGUGAAAUGCGUAGAUAUGUGGAGGAACACCGAUGGCGAAGGCAGCCCCCUGGGUCAAGAUUGACGCUCAUGCACGAAAGCGUGGGGAGCAAACAGGAUUAGAAACCCCGGUAGUCCCAUG